rnacentral:misc_RNA from 1 species
UACGUAGGAUGCAAGCGUUGUCCGGAAUUAUUGGGCGUAAAGCGUACGUAGGCGGUUUGUUAAGUCAGGGGUUAAAGACUGAGGCUCAACCUCAGGAGUGCCCUUGAUACUGGCAGGCUUGAGGACGGCAGAGGAAAGUGGAAUUCCCAGUGUAGCGGUGAAAUGCGUAGAUAUUGGGAGGAACACCAGUGGCGAAAGCGACUUUCUGGGCCGUUCCUGACGCUGAGGUACGAAAGCGUGGGGAGCAAACAGG